UACGUAGGGUGCAAGCGUUAAUCGGAAUUACUCGGCGUAAAGCGUGCGCAGGCGGUUUUGUAAGUCUGAUGUGAAAUCCCCGGGCUCAACCUGGGAAUUGCAUCGGAGACUGCAAGGCUAGAAUCUGGCAGAGGGGGGUAGAAUUCCACGUGUAGCAGUGAAAUGCGCAGAGAUGUGGAGGAACACCGAUGGCGAAGGCAGCCACCUGGGUCAAGAUUGACGCUCAUGCACGAAAGCGUGGGGAGCAAACAGG
rnacentral:rRNA from 1 species